rnacentral:lncRNA from 1 species
CCAAACAUCCCACAAAUUAAUGAGAUAUUCAUAAAUCUCGAAUAUCUCAAAGGUCAAAGGGAUCAAAACCCUCUCUUCUUGAUUAAUCAAAUAAAUCAAGAAGAUCGACAAAUCCUCCUUUCAUGGAGAUCAAAUCCAAAUAUUCUUAUGUUCAAGAAAUACGCCACUAACGGCCCUCGAAUUACAGAGAAAUCCAAAUAUUCCUAUGUUCGAGAAAUACACCACUAACGGCCCUCGAAUUAUGGAGAAAUUCGUAUCCAAAUCUUUCUACAUUCGAGAAAUACACUACUGACGGCCCUCGAAUUAAGGAAUUAAGAGAGAAGAAUCAAGGGAGUAAUAAAUUUGUACCCAC